GGGAUAACACUUGGAAACAGGUGCUAAUACCGUAUAACACUAUUUUCCGCAUGGAAGAAAGUUGAAAGGCGCUUUUGCGUCACUGAUGGAUGGACCCGCGGUGCAUUAGCUAGUUGGUGAGGUAACGGCUCACCAAGGCCACGAUGCAUAGCCGACCUGAGAGGGUGAUUGGCCACACUGGGACUGAGACACGGCCCAGACUCCUACGGGAGGCAGCAGUAGGGAAUCUUCGGCAAUGGACGAAAGUCUGACCGAGCAACGCCGCGUGAGUGAAGAAGGUUUUCGGAUCGUAAAACUCUGUUGUUAGAGAAGAACAAGGAUGAGAGUAGAACGUUCAUCCCUUGACGGUAUCUAACCAGAAAGCCACGGCUAACUACGUGCCAGCAGCCGCGGUAAUACGUAGGUGGCAAGCGUUGUCCGGAUUUAUUGGGCGUAAAGCGAGCGCAGGCGGUUUCUUAAGUCUGAUGUGAAAGCCCCCGGCUCAACCGGGGAGGGUCAUUGGAAACUGGGAGACUUGAGUGCAGAAGAGGAGAGUGGAAUUCCAUGUGUAGCGGUGAAAUGCGUAGAUAUAUGGAGGAACACCAGUGGCGAAGGCGGCUCUCUGGUCUGUAACUGACGCUGAGGCUCGAAAGCGUGGGGAGCGAACAGGAUUAGAUACCCUGGUAGUCCACGCCGUAAACGAUGAGUAAUAAGUGUUGGAGGGUUUCCGCCCUUCAGUGCUGCAGCA
rnacentral:rRNA from 1 species